GCCAUGGUGGUGCAAUGGUUAAGCACUUGGCUACAAACUACAAGGAUGGUGGUUCAAAUCCACCCAGCAGCU
rnacentral:tRNA from 1 species